CCUACGGGAGGCAGCAGUGAGGAAUAUUGGUCAAUGGGCGCAAGCCUGAACCAGCCAAGUCGCGUGAGGGAUGACUGCCCUAUGGGUUGUAAACCUCUUUUAUAAGGGAAUAAAGUAAGUCACGUGUACCAUGUUGCAUUUACUUUAUGAAUAAGGAUCGGCUAACUCCGUGCCAGCAGCCGCGGUAAUACGGAGGAUCCGAGCGUUAUCCGGAUUUACUGGGUUUAAAGGGAGCGUAGGUGGUUUGUUAAGUCAAUUGUGAAAGUGUGUGGCUUAACCGUAGAAUUGCAAUUGAUACUGGCAGACUUGAGUUCAGAUGAGGUAGGCGGAAUUCGUGGUGUAGCGGUGAAAUGCUUAGAUAUCACGAAGAACUCCGAUAGCGAAGGCAGCUUACUAGACUGCGACUGACGCUGAGGCUCGAAAGCGUGGGUAGCAAACAGGAUUAGAUACCCUUGUAGUC
rnacentral:rRNA from 1 species